GACGAACGCUGGCGGCGUGCUUAACACAUGCAAGUCGAGCGGUAAGGCCCUUUCGGGGUACGACGAGCGGCGAACGGGUGAGUAACACGUGGGUGACCUGCCCUCAGCUCUGGGAUAAGCCCGGGAACCUAGGGUCUAAUACCGGAUAUGACUCCAUGACGCAUGUUGUGGGGUGGAAAGCCUUGUGCGGCUGAGGAUGGGCCCGCGGCCUAUCAGCUUGUUGGUGGGGUGAUGGCCUACCAGGGCGACGACGGGUAGCCGGCCUGAGAGGGCGACCGGCCACACUGGGACUGAGAUACGGCCCAGACUCCUACGGGAGGCAGCGAGUGGGGAAUCUUGCGCAAUGGGCGAAAGCCUGACGCAGCGACGCCGCGUGA
rnacentral:rRNA from 1 species